CUUUUGUGCUGUCGCAGAUGGAUGAGCCUGCGUUGGAUUAGCUAGUUGGUGGGGUAAGGGCCUACCAAGGCUACGAUCCAUAGCUGAUUUGAGAGGAUGAUCAGCCACAUUGGGACUGAGACACGGCCCAAACUCCUACGGGAGGCAGCAGUGAGGAAUAUUGGACAAUGGGGGCAACCCUGAUCCAGCAAUGCCAUGUGUGUGAAGAAGGCCUUAGGGUUGUAAAGCACUUUAGUUGGGGAAGAAAGCUUUGAGGUUAAUAGCCUUGAGGAAGGACGUUACCCAAAGAAUAAGCACCGGCUAACUCCGUGCCAGCAGCCGCGGUAAUACGGGGGGUGCAAGCGUUAAUCGGAAUUACUGGGCGUAAAGGGUCUGUAGGUGGUUUGUUAAGUCAGAUGUGAAAGCCCAGGGCUCAACCUUGGAACUGCAUUUGAUACUGGCAAACUAGAGUACGGUAGAGGAAUGGGGAAUUUCUGGUGUAGCGGUGAAAUGCGUAGAGAUCAGAAGGAACACCAAUGGCGAAGGCAACAUUCUGGACCGAUACUGACACUGAGGGACGAAAGCGUGGGGAUCAAACAGGAUUAGAUACCCUGGUAGUCCACGCUGUAAACGAUGAGUACUAGCUGUUGGAGUCGGUGUAAAGGCUCUAGUGGCGCAGCUAACGCGAUAAGUACUCCGCCUGGGGAACUACGGCCGCAAGGCUAAAACUCAAAGGAAUUGACGGGGACCCGCACAAGCGGUGGAGCAUGUGGUUUAAUUCGAUGCAACGCGAAGAACCUUACCUGGUCUUGACAUCCUGCGAGCUUUCUAGAGAUAGAUUGGUGCCUUCGGGAACGCAGUGACAGGUGCUGCAUGGCUGUCGUCAGCUCGUGUUGUGAAAUGUUGGGUG
rnacentral:rRNA from 1 species